CCUACGGGAGGCUGCAGUGAGGAAUAUUGGUCAAUGGGCGGAAGCCUGAACCAGCCAAGUCGCGUGAGGGAUUAAGGCCCUAUGGGUCGUAAACCUCUUUUGUCAGGGAGCAAUGGCGUCCACGUGUGGGCGUCUGGAGAGUACCUGAAGAAAAAGCAUCGGCUAACUCCGUGCCAGCAGCCGCGGUAAUACGGAGGAUGCGAGCGUUAUCCGGAUUUAUUGGGUUUAAAGGGUGCGUAGGGGGGUCCUUAAGUCAGCGGUAAAGUUGCGGGUCUAAACGCCGUAGUGCCGUUGAAACUGGGGGACUUGAGUGAGCGAGAGGUAGGCGGAAUGCGAGGUGUAGCGGUGAAAUGCAUAGAUAUCACGAAGAACCCCGAUUGCGAAGGCAGCAUACCGGAGCGCAACUGACGCUGAGGCACGAAAGUGCGGGUAGCGAACAGGAUUAGAUACCCCAGUAGUC
rnacentral:rRNA from 1 species